AAAAUGAUACUUUCAGGAAUUUGUUGUUGUUGUUACUGAGGAGGUUUGUCCAAUGUGUAGAGUACCAGGAUCCAUGAGGAGGACAUGUAUGCCCUCCGGAGAGUGAAGCUGCCUCUUGGUAUUGUCUGGACUCAGCUGUCUUUUGGCAUUGAUAACCAUUCUUCUGUACCCACAUGAAGGUAGGAGUGAAAAAAAUUUAAAUGAG